AGCAGCCGCGGUAAUUCCAGCUCCAAUAGCGUAUAUUAAAGUUGUUGCAGUUAAAAAGCUCGUAGUUGAAUUUCGGGAUCAAUAUGUUGGUCGUGCCUCGGUACGUACUGGCAUUAUUGGUUUCUACCUUCUGAAGAACCUCGAUGUCAUUAAUUUGGUGUCUUGGGGAAUCAGGACUGUUACUUUGAAAAAAUUAGAGUGUUUAAAGCAGGCUCACGCUUGAAUACAUUAGCAUGGAAUAAUGAAAUAGGACGUUUGAUUCUAUUUUGUUGGUUUCUAGGAUUGACGUAAUGAUUAAUAGGGAUAGCUGGGGGCAUUAGUAUUCAAUUGUCAGAGGUGAAAUUCUUGGAUUUAUUGAAGACUGACUACUGCGAAAGCAUUUGCCAAGGAUGUUUUCAUUAAUCAAGAACGAAAGUUAGGGGAUCGAAGACGAUCAGAUACCGUCCUAGUCUCAACCAUAAACUAUGCCGACUAGGGAUCGGAUGAUGU
rnacentral:rRNA from 1 species